GGAGGGGUCGCAUAGUGGUCUAGUGCGCACGCUUGGAGAGCGUGUUACCCGAAAGGGUUCGCGGGUUCAAAUCCCGCCCCCUCCG
rnacentral:tRNA from 1 species